rnacentral:rRNA from 1 species
ACUGCUCAGUAACACGUAUAGGAAUUGGCGGGGGAGCACAUACUGCUCAGUAACACGUAUAGGAAUUGGCGGGGGAGCACAUACGGCUCAGUAACACGUGGCUAAUCUGCCCUUGGGACAAGAACAACCCCGGGAAACUGGGGCUAAUUCUUGAUAGGCGAAGAACUCUGGAAUGAGUCUUCACCCAAUAGAUUCAAAGUUAUGCUCUUUGAAUCGCUCAAGGAUGAGGCCGCGACCGAUCAGGUUGUUGGUGAGGUAAUGGCUCACCAAGCCUUUUACCGGUGCGGGCCGUGAGAGCGGGAGCCCGGAGAUGGGCACUGAGACAAGGGCCCAGGCCCUACGGGGCGCAGCAGUCGCGAAAACUUUGCAAUAAGCGAAAGCUUGACAGGGCUAUCCCGAGUGCCAUCCGCUGAGGAAGGCUUUUACCCAGUCUAGAACGCUGGGGGAAUAAGGAGAGGGCAAGUCUGGUGUCAGCCGCCGCGGUAAUACCAGCUCCCCGAGUGGUGUGGAUGUUUAUUGGGCCUAAAGUAUCCGUAGCUGGCUAAGUUAGUCCCUUGUUAAAUCCACCGAAUUAAUCGUUGGAUUGCGGGGGAUACUGCUUGGCUAGGGAACGAGAGAGGCAGACGGUAUUUCCGGGGUAGGGGGUGAAAUCCUAUAAUCCCGGGAAGACCACCAGUGGCGAAGGCUGUCUGCUAGAACGCGUCCGACGGUGAGGGAUGAAAGCUGGGGGAGCGAACCGGAUUAGAUACCCGGGUAGUCCCAGCUGUAAACGAUGCAGGCUAGGUGUUUGGACGGCCACGUGCCGUUCUAGUGCCGCAGGGAAGCUGUUAAGCCUGCCGCCUGGGGAGUACGAUCGCAAGAUUGAAACUUAAAGGAAUUGGCGGGGGAGCAC